GGGCGCGUCCCGGGGGUCACGUGGUGCGCAGCACGCAGAGCCCUUCUGUCGGUUGGUCCUGGAGCGGCGCAGCCGGAGCGGGGCUGUGAGGAGAAUAAAGGCAGCCCCGUUGAUGACUGAAAAUGACAAAGCAUCCACCUAACAGACGAGGAAUCAGCUUUGAAGUGGGAGCCCAGUUGGAAGCCCGGGACCGAUUAAAAAACUGGUAUCCAGCUCACAUAGAAGAUAUUGACUACGAAGAAGGAAAAGUACUCAUUCAUUUCAAGCGUUGGAACCAUCGUUAUGAUGAGUGGUUCUGCUGGGACAGUCCUUAUUUACGUCCUUUAGAGAAAAUACAGCUGAGGAAAGAGGGCUUACAUGCAGAGGAAGGAUCUUCUGAAUUUCAAAUAAACGAGCAGGUUCUCGCCUGUUGGUCUGAUUGUCGUUUUUACCCAGCCAAAGUCACUGCUGUUAACAAGGAUGGUACUUACACUGUGAAAUUUUAUGAUGGAGUAGUUCAAACUGUCAAACAUAUUCAUGUCAAAGCUUUUUCCAAAGAUCAGAAUAUUGUGGGUAAUGCUAGGCCUAAAGAAACAGAACACAAAAGUCUUUCAUCAUCUCCUGAUAAACGAGAGAAGUUUAAAGAGCAGAGAAAAGCGACAGCUAAUGUGAAGAAAGACAAAGAGGACAAAGCCUUGAAGACAGAAAAGCAACCUAAGCAGCCUGAUAAAGAAGGAAAGUUAAUCUGUUCUGAAAAGGGGAAGGUGUCAGAGAAGAACCUUCCUAAGAACGAGAAGGAAGAUAAGGAGAACAUUUCAGAAAAUGACAGAGAGUAUUCUGGAGAUGCUCAAGUGGAUAAGAAACCUGAAAAUGACAUUGUGAAGAGUCCACAAGAAAACUUGAGGGAGCCAAAAAGAAAACGAGGCAGACCCCCUUCCAUAGCUCCUACUGCUGUGGAUUCAAACAGUCAAACUUUGCAACCAAUAACGUUGGAACUGAGAAGACGGAAAAUAUCAAAAGGAAGUGAAGUCCCCAUAAAACGUCCUCGGCUUGACAAAAAUUCAUGUCAGUUGAAAUCUCCUUUGGAAGCUGGCCAGGUUUCAUCUGCACUAACUUGCCACUCCAUUGGGGAUGGACUGGGGCCUGCAGGCUUGGAGUUGAACUGCAAGUCAAUGGGAGAAAACGCUAUGAAAACAGAACCGGCUUCUCCCCUCACUGAGUUACAAGAGAUUUCUACUGUGGCAGUAACAAAUACUUUUAAGAAAACAGAUGAUUUUGUGACAUCUAAAGCACCAGCUGUCGACCUAGAUCACAAGUUUAGGUGCAAGGUUGCAGAUUGUUUAAAAUUUUUCCGCAAAGCCAAGCUCUUGCACUAUCACAUGAAGUAUUUCCACGGAAUGGAGAAGUCACCAGAGCCGGAGGAGAACCCAGGAAAGAGGCAUGUCCAGACAAGGGGCUCUUCAGCUUCAGACAAGACCAGCCAGGAGAGCCUGACCAGGAAGCGGGUCUCUGCCAGUUCCCCAACUGCAAAAGACAAGGAAAAGAAUAAAGAGAAGAAAUUCAAAGAGUUUGUGAGGGUGAAGCCAAAGAAGAAAAAGAAAAAGAAAAAGAAAACUAAGCCUGAAUGCCCCUGCAGUGAGGAGAUCAGUGACACCUCCCAGGAACCUUCUCCACCCAAGGCAUUUGCUGUCACCAGGUGUGGGUCCUCCCAUAAGCCUGGGGUCCACAUGAGCCCGCAGCUCCAUGGCUCAGAAUCUGGAAACCACAAAGGGAAAGUGAAAGUGUCUGAAGAGGAUAAUCUGAGCGAGUCCUCUUCUGAGAGCUUUCUUUGGAGCGAUGAGGAGUAUGGCCAGGACAUUGACGUGACCACCAACCCAGACGAGGAACUCGAUGGGGAUGACCGUUACGAUUUUGAAGUGGUCCGCUGCGUCUGUGAGGUUCAGGAGGAAAAUGACUUCAUGAUUCAGUGUGAAGAGUGCCAGUGCUGGCAGCAUGGGGUCUGCAUGGGAUUACUGGAAGAAAAUGUGCCUGAGAAAUACACCUGUUAUGUUUGCCAAGACCCUCCAGGUCAGAGGCCUGGUUUCAAGUACUGGUACGACAAGGAAUGGUUGAGCAGGGGACACAUGCAUGGCCUGGCAUUUUUAGAAGAGAACUACUCCCAUCAGAAUGCCAAGAAGAUUGUGGCCACUCACCAGCUUCUUGGUGAUGUGCAGAGAGUGAUCGAGGUUCUGCAUGGCCUUCAGCUCAAGAUGAGCAUCUUACAAAGCCGGGAGCAUCCUGAUCUGCAGCUGUGGUGUCAGCCUUGGAAACAGCAUCUGUUAGAGGGGAGAUUGCAUUCCAGACACAUCCAUGUCACUGAAGCCAAGAGCAGGGAGGAAGCCCCAAGCUAUAGAACUUUGAAUGGGGCAGUGGAGAAGCCUCUGCCCCUGCCCUUGCCCCGGUCAGUGGAGGAGUCGUAUAUCACCAGCGAGCACUGCUACCAGAAGCCCCGCACCUAUUACCCGGCUGUGGAACAGAAGCUGGUGGUGGAGACCCGGCGCUCCGCCCUCGAUGAUGCUGUCAGCCCGCUCCACGAGAACGGUGACGAUGCCCUCCCUCCGCGCCUGGGCUGGCCUCUAGACCAAGACAGGAGCAGAGGGGACAGUGACCCCAAAUCUGGCUCCCCAAAGGUGAGGGAAUAUGUCUCCAAAAAGGUCCUCACGGAGGAAGCCCCCACUCGGAAGCUGCUGGACAGAGGUGGAGAGGGGCUGCUGAGCUCCCAGCACCAGUGGCAGUUUAACCUGCUGACCCAUGUGGAAUCUCUUCAGGAUGAAGUCACACAUAGGAUGGACUCCAUUGAGAAGGAGCUGGAUGUGUUGGAGAGCUGGCUGGACUACACCGGGGAACUGGAGCCCCCGGAGCCUCUGGCCAGGCUUCCGCAGCUCAAGCAUUGCAUCAAGCAGCUGCUGACGGACCUGGGCAAGGUGCAGCAGAUCGCGCUCUGCUGCUCAACAUGAAACUAAGAACUAAUGGGGGGCACAAUCCUGGGGCACCUGCAGGAGGAGCUUCUCAUAUUUAAAUAAAUAAACCUAGCAUGCCGAAUGCACGUGACACCGACUGACUUCAGGGAUCCGGGCAGGGGGUGUGAUGGACAUUGGACAAAGAGGCCAUUUUGGCUACUGGAAGGGAGGGCACUCUGAUGGCAAAGCCUACCAAGAAGGUAGCAGAUAGACUCUUGGAAUUCCCUUCUUCUGUGCACAUUGUUGAAUGGAGAGUGAGUCUUUUUGCACAAUCUUCACUUGAAAUCGUGCCACUGAUGAUAAAUGGAAUGAGAGCCAAAAAAGUUUAGUCGGAAACAGUUGUAAAUUCAACUUGCAGCUUAUUUAAUUGACUUUUCUGUCAGGUUGGGGCACAUGCCAAGCCUUCUGGUUUUCUGCCUGGCAUGGAUUUAGGCAGCAGACAUCAUUUUCAUUUUUCCAGCUUCAUGGGAGUGUUGUGACGUCACCAUUCUGUGGAGGUUGGGAAGGACCAGAGGCCUUGGCUGCCCUGCCUUCUCCUUAGGACUCUUCACUUUUCUCACCACAUCUCUUUCAUGACUUCCUGGUACUGAGGACAAAUUUUGUAUGCUUUCACCCCCGAAUCAGCUGGGUCGUGUGUCUUUUGUAGCAGAGCCCGUACAGCCUGUGGAAGAACUAGAAUCUCACUGUAAGAAGAAUCUAGGAGGAAUUCCAAACUGAAGCAGGCAGGGUCUGGAACCCAAAGGGACAGCGUUUUCUACCCACUUCUUCAUAUUGACAGCUUACCAGUUCUAUUUAACGUCCAAAAAGUGGUUCCCAAAAUUUUGAACUCUUUCACUGUAAAGAUUUGAUACAGAGAAUGUGGUUUGGGGAAUUACCUUAUUUUAUAUUGUUGUAAACACACCAGAUCCUAAAUGUGCCGCUUUUCUCCUUCCCUGAGGGUAUGUGUUCAGUACCUGGCAUUUUCGGAAUUGUUUUAAUAUACUUUAACACUUUAAAUUUCCUGUUUGUAUUAUUUUGUGAGAUCAAGUUGAUUAUGCUGCUUAAGGUCCAGGUACAAUUUGUACCUUUUGAGACAAUAUUUGUUACUCUCACAGGUUACGGUUCCACAUGUAAUUGUUUUUGUUUUGUAAUUGUUUUUCCUUACCAGGCAAAGUUUAAGAAAAUGCUCAGUGCUUUGAGGAGUGACCCAUUUCACCAUUUAGUUUUCUUAUCACUGAAGGCAAAAAUCAAAGCACAGUUGUCCAUUAACACUCACGAGUUAAUUAUGGGUUUAUGAAUCUGUAAUGUUAUAUGCUGCAAAUAUUUACUAUGUAAACGAAAAGUAGCCAAUAUCUCAAUAGCAAUGACAGUAUUUCCAGCAACCUUUGGAAUGGUUAGGCUUUAAGGCACAGGUCGUUGUGGUCAUGAAGGCCUCUGUACCAAGAUUUUGUUUCAGGGAAUGCUCUGUCUAGUGAUUUAAUUCAUCAUUUGAUAUAAAAUGAAUUUAGGACAAGUUGACCUGCUGUAGCUUAUCCAUCAGAGGGAAUACAUGUGGCUAUGACGUCUAUAAUAAAGGUGACACAAUUCCUCUUCAAGGGUUGUUUCCCAUUGCUAACGUUGGUAUUUCUGGUGUGGGAGGAAAUGUUCAAGGAGUGUGCAUGACAUCUAUGUUUUGCUUAAUUUAUCAGACAGCCACAUUGUAAUAACUGUGUGAUGCUCGUCUGAAAAGGGAAGAAACAGGAUGAUUUUCGGUAGCUACAACUGUGAGGUAUGGUGACUUAAAUUAUUUGGAUUACCAUUUUUUCUUUUCUGAAAGCACAUCUGGGCAUCACCUCUGGGGAAGCUGUAACUUUAAGGUAGUCAAUCUCAUGUUUUUAUUAAAGAUGGAAGCAGAAACUGAAUUACCCUAAUUUUGCCAAGUGGCCAUUGUUGGGUUUAUUGUAUGCUUUUUGUAAAGGAAAUAAUCCCAUUUCACUCAUUGUCACUUUUGUCCUUAGGGAGGCAGAGAUGACUCCAAGUUCUGAUAAAGUGUGCUUCCCUAAUUUAAAGCCAUGUUGCGGGACUCUAUCCCCACUUCCUGGGUCAAGUUGAAUUAACCGCAAGUUGGAGCACUGGAAACUGUUAUUUGCAAAUAUUACUGUUACCAUUUAGAAAUAUGUACACUACCUAAGUUUUCUUUUGAGAAAAACCAUCCACCUAUUUAAAAAAAAAAAAAAAAUUGCCUUGACACAAGCAGUUCUGGUUUGACUAAUCAUUUUGUUUCUUUAAGUAAUGAGUGUAUGCAAGGUGGACCCUUGAUCAGCCAACAUUGCACUGUGGAUACAUAUCUGUUUACGCUAUUAGAACAGAAGGCGCUGUAUAUAGAAAUGUUGCUUUGAAGCAAUAUUUGCAAAACAUGCAAACUUCUGUAUCUGUAUUUGGAAAAAAAUAAAGCAGGUUUUUGUUGCUA
rnacentral:lncRNA from 9 species